rnacentral:rRNA from 1 species
CCUUACGGCCACACCAGUGUGAAUGCGCCUGAUCUCGUAUGAUCUCGGAAAAUAAACACACUUGGGCUCAAUCAGUACUUGGAUCGGAGACCACCUGUGAACACCGAGUACUGUAAGCU